rnacentral:rRNA from 1 species
UAAGGAAUAUUGGUCAAUGGACGCAAGUCUGAACCAGCCAUGCCGCGUGAAGGAUGAAGGUCCUCUGGAUUGUAAACUUCUUUUAUAGGGGACGAAAAAAGGGAAUUCUUUCUCACUUGACGGUACCCUAGGAAUAAGCACCGGCUAACUCCGUGCCAGCAGCCGCGGUAAUACGGAGGGUGCAAGCGUUAUCCGGAUUUACUGGGUUUAAAGGGUGCGUAGGUGGGUCUGUAAGUCAGUGGUGAAAUCUCCGGGCUUAACUCGGAAACUGCCAUUGAUACUAUAGGUCUUGAAUACUCUGGAGGUAAGCGGAAUAUGUCAUGUAGCGGUGAAAUGCUUAGAUAUGACAUAGAACACCAAUUGCGAAGGCAGCUUACUACGGGGUCAUUGACACUGAGGCACGAAAGCGUGGGGAUCAAACAGGAUUAGAUACCCCCGUAGUCC